rnacentral:rRNA from 1 species
GACAGAGGGUGCAAACGUUGUUCGGAAUACUGGGCGUAAAGCGUGUGUAGGCGGCUAGGUAAGUCGGAUGUGAAAGCCCCCAGGCUCAACCUGGGAAGUGCACUCGAUACUGCUUAGCUCGAGUACUGGAGAGGUUGGUGGAAUUCUCGGUGUAGAGGUGAAAUUCGUAGAUAUCGAGAGGAACACCGGUGGCGAAGGCGGCCAACUGGACAGAUACUGACGCUGAGACACGAAAGCGUGGGGAGCAAACAGG